UAGAGCUGUGGUCCGUGAUGUAUCUCUAUAUUCUGAUGAUUAAAAAUGAGGUCAUUCAGCAGUAUUCGUCACUACCACUGAGACCACAGGCUA